rnacentral:hammerhead_ribozyme from 1 species
AUCCAGAGGAUCAGUCCCAAAUAGGACAAAACGCGCGUCAAACUGGAU